rnacentral:rRNA from 1 species
UACGUAGGAGGCAAGCGUUGUCCGGAUUUAUUGGGCGUAAAGAGCGUGUAGGCGGCUUUACAGGUCCGUUGUGAAAACUCGAGGCUCAACCUCGAGACGCCGGUGGAAACCGUAAGGCUAGAGUCCGGAAGAGGAGAGUGGAAUUCCUGGUGUAGCGGUGAAAUGCGCAGAUAUCAGGAGGAACACCCGUGGCGAAAGCGGCUCUCUGGGACGGUACUGACGCUGAGACGCGAAAGCGUGGGGAGCAAACAGG